rnacentral:rRNA from 1 species
UACUUGGAUAACCGUGGUAAUUCUAGAGCUAAUACAUGCUAAAAACCCCAACUUCGGGAGGGGUGUAUUUAUUAGAUAAAAAACCAAUGCCCUUCGGGGCUCUUUGGUGAUUCACAAUAACUUAACGGAUCGCAUGGCCUUGCGCCGGCGACGGUUCAUUCAAAUUUCUGCCCUAUCAACUUUCGAUGGUAAGGUAUUGGCUUACCAUGGUUUCAACGGGUAACGGGGAAUUAGGGUUCGAUUCCGGAGAGGGAGCCUGAGAAACGGCUACCACAUCCAAGGAAGGCAGCAGGCGCGCAAAUUACCCAAUCCCGACACGGGGAGGUAGUGACAAUAAAUACUGAUACAGGGCUCUUUUGGGUCUUGUAAUCGGAAUGAGUACAAUUUAAACCUCUUAACGAGGAACAAUUGGAGGGCAAGUCUGGUGCCAGCAGCCGCGGUAAUUCCAGCUCCAAUAGCGUAUAUUAAAGUUGUUGCAGUUAAAAAGCUCGUAGUUGAACCUUGGGUCUGGCUGGCCGGUCCGCCUCACCGCGUGCACUGGUCCGGCCGGACCUUUCCUUCUGGAGAACCCCAUGCCCUUCACUGGGUGUGCGGGGGAACCAGGACUUUUACUGUGAAAAAAUUAGAGUGUUCAAAGCAGGCCUUUGCUCGAAUACGUUAGCAUGGAAUAAUAGAAUAGGACGUGCGAUCCUAUUUUGUUGGUUUCUAGGACCGCCGUAAUGAUUAAUAGGGAUAGUCGGGGGCAUCAGUAUUCAAUUGUCAGAGGUGAAAUUCUUGGAUUUAUUGAAGACUAACUACUGCGAAAGCAUUUGCCAAGGAUGUUUUCAUUAAUCAGUGAACGAAAGUUAGGGGAUCGAAGACGAUCAGAUACCGUCGUAGUCUUAACCGUAAACUAUGCCGACUAGGGAUCGGGCGAUGUUUCUAUUUUGACUCGCUCGGCA